rnacentral:lncRNA from 1 species
UCACUGCACGUUUUCAAGGUUUUUGUGUGGGAAAGCUGGUCAUAGAACAUUUGGGACAUUUGGGAAAGUAGUAAAGGUUAGAAAUAGCCUGUAGAAAUGGAAGGCAGAGUUGGUUAGAAACUCACAACAGGUGGAACGCGGUGGCUCACGUCUGUAAUCCCAGCUACUCGGGAGGCUGGGGAAGAAGAAUCACUUGAACCCGGUAGGCAGAGGUUGAAGUGAGCCAAGAUGGCGCCACGGCACUCCAUCCUGGGCAAAAAAGAAAAUCAUAACAGAUUUCCUGACAGCACUGAGAACCCAACUGAGGUUGCAUUCUGGGCAACUCUUUAGCGUUUGCCUGGAUUGCUUGGAUUGUGGCUCCUUCCUCCAUCUUCAAAGACAGCAGUGUAACAUCUUCAAAUCUCUGACUCUGACCUUCAUGCCUCCCUCUUUCACUCAUAAGGACCAUUGUGAUUACAUUGUGCUUAUCCAAAUAAUCCAGAAUAAAUGCUCCAUCUCAAGGCCCUUAAAUUAAUCAAACUGCAACGUCCCCUUUGUCAUGUAAGGUAUCAUGUUCACAAGUUUAGGAAUUAGGAUAUGGUCAUCUUUGUGGAGGGUGGCAGGGCAUUAGUCUGCCUACCAUAGUGUCCCUAAUCUGCUUUCUUUUCUGGCAACCUCAUCCAGUUACUUCCUCAACUUCUGUUUAUCUACUGAAAUGCAACUUCUAUUUCCUUAACAUUUUUUUCUCUCCAUGGAUCUUUCUGUUCCUACCUUUUCUUUCUUCCAUUUCCAGCUUAGAUUCCUUGUUCUUUCCCUUCAGCCACAUUUCAGCAGUGUCCUCACACUCCUUUGUUUCAUAGUGAACAUCCUCCCUCAGAGUUCCAAUUGUAGAUUAUUCCAUAUGGAUCUUAUUCACUCCACACAGACUGUUUGGUGCUCCUAGAGAAUAUCACACCACGGUGAAGAUUAGUGCCACUCUAAAUAAGGAGUAGGCCUUCCAGUCCAGGAUGCCUGUACCCACAACCUCCCCUGCCUUCCCACCCACCACAAGGCCUGGAAUGCUCAUGCUGCUGUUACUCGUACCCCACCUACUUGAAAUAAAAGCAAAGAGGCCAGGUGGCUGCUGCACACUCUUCUAGGGGUGGGCUCAAGGGGCAGUUCUGUACUCACCAUCUCCUCCUGCAUAAGGAUUCAACUUGGUAUCAUCUUCAAAGAGGAGAGAAAGAGCAAGAUUAGUGAAAUAAUUACGGCCUUUGUUACCUUGGGUCCAGACAGGACUUUUGGGAAGUUCAGUCCAACCCUUCACUUUAGAGGCCAGGAAACUUAAGUACAGAGAAGAGGGGUGACUUACUUGUUCCCUUCAAUGCUAUCCCACUCACUUGCAUUUCCCUAAUAGGAUUCAUAGUAGCUACUUCAAGAAGGCUUGACUUCCUCAAGAUAUCUAAUCCUACUUUCUGUACCUUCAGCUGAUGACUUUGCCUCCUACUUCAAAUUUAAAAAUGCCAUCAAAUGAAAACCAUCUUAACUUCCUUCAUUAACUUAUAAAUGUACCUAUAUUUGUAUGCAUCCUUU